rnacentral:rRNA from 1 species
AGAGUUUGAUCCUGGCUCAGGAUGAACGCUAGCUACAGGCUUAACACAUGCAAGUCGAGGGGAAACGACAUCGAAAGCUUGCUUUUGAUGGUCGUCGACCGGCGCACGGGUGAGUAACGCGUAUCCAACCUGCCCAUCACUUGGGGAUAACCUUGCGAAAGUAAGACUAAUACCCAGUGAUAUCUCUAGAAGGCAUCUGAAAGAGAUUAAAGAUUUAUCGGUGAUGGAUGGGGAUGCGUCUGAUUAGCUUGUUGGCGGGGUAACGGCCCACCAAGGCAACGAUCAGUAGGGGUUCUGAGAGGAACGGUCCCCCACAUUGGAACUGAGACACGGUCCAAACUCCUACGGGAGGCAGCA